CCUACGGGUGGGCUGCAGUGGGGAAUAUUGGACAAUGGGGGCAACCCUGAUCCAGCCAUGCCGCGUGUGUGAAGAAGGCCCUCGGGUUGUAAAGCACUUUCAGUGAGGAAGAACGCCUGGUGGUUAAUACCCAUCAGGAAAGACAUCACUCACAGAAGAAGCACCGGCUAACUCCGUGCCAGCAGCCGCGGUAAUACGGAGGGUGCGAGCGUUAAUCGGAAUUACUGGGCGUAAAGCGCGCGUAGGUGGCUUGAUAAGCCGGUUGUGAAAGCCCCGGGCUCAACCUGGGAACGGCAUCCGGAACUGUCAAGCUAGAGUGCAGGAGAGGAAGGUAGAAUUCCCGGUGUAGCGGUGAAAUGCGUAGAGAUCGGGAGGAAUACCAGUGGCGAAGGCGGCCUUCUGGACUGACACUGACACUGAGGUGCGAAAGCGUGGGUAGCAAACAGGAUUAGAUACCCUAGUAGUC
rnacentral:rRNA from 1 species